AUUGAACGCUGGCGGCAGGCCUAACACAUGCAAGUCGAGCGGAGCGGCUGACGGGUGAGUAAUUCCUAGGAAUCUGCCUGGUAGUGGGGGAUAACGUCCGGAAACGGGCGCUAAUACCGCAUCCUAUCAGAUGAGCCUAGGUCGGAGUAGCUAGUUGGUGGGGUAAAGGCCUACCAAGGCGACGAUCCGUAACUGGUCUGAGAGGAUGCUCAGUCACACUGGAACGGAGACACGGGCCAGCGUCCUAAGGGAGGCAGCAGUGGGGAAUAUGGGACAAUGGGCGAAAGCCUGAUCCAGCCAGGCGGCGUGUGUGAAGAAGGUCUUAGGAUUGUAAGGCACUUUAAGUUGGGAGGCGUUACCAACAGAAUAAGCACCGGCUAACUUCGUGCCAGCAGCCGCGGUAAUAC
rnacentral:rRNA from 1 species